rnacentral:lncRNA from 1 species
AGCUUCAACACAAGGCAGGCGUUACAGGUAUACUAUUGCUGCCAUAAAUAUAGGUAUAAUAUAUAGUAUUAUACCGGAUAUGGAUAAAUAGGUAUAAAACAAGCGCAGGUCUUUCUGAUCGACGGAGUAUACUCUCACAUAAAGAUUAGGAAAAUGAUUCAGUAUACUAAUUGAAUAACAAUAUUAAAUGUCUCAAUAUUGUAUUGUGGUAUCUUAAAAUAUUUUUUAUGAUGUUGAAAUACGCGAAGCCUCGGUCCGGACGGACACCGCGCCGCGGGCGCACGUAUUUUCCCCCUAUCGGUCCCAGUGCGAUAAGACGACUCGCAUGUAUCAUUUGCGAAGAGCGUCAGUAAAUGGGUUUUUCUAUCAUGCUUAAUAUAAUAAUUAUGUAUAGGUCAAAACAAGAAACUCUAACUGCUUGCUCUUUUGUAACCUGAUUUGGUCGCGCUACAUUCCUCAGAUGGGUCAUGGGGUUGAAGUAAGCAAGCGGCCAGUCAUAAAAACUGUUGAAUAAAUGUUUUGCACCGACCACACAUAGAAGUGAGAAUCUAUGCUUGUAGUAGUGAUUUGUUCUGUUGUUCAUACAUUCUGAUGGCCCAAAUCCAAUCCCUACCUACUAGGUCUUUUUCUCGUCGUGUUUAUUUUUCAGAGAGUAAAGUCAAUAGGUAUAUGUCAUCGAUACAAACGACGGAAUCAAUAACCUAAUAUUAAGUGACCCCGAACCGCGGUAGCCCAAAAAAGGCCUAUAAUACUGUCCUUCAACCACAGGCAGAAAUGACUGAUGCCUUAAGUUGGACGGCAGAAAAGACGAGAAGAACGCGCGAGUUUGCAGGCGCGGCAUGUGCUUGCGUGAUUACUUGAGUUUGAUGGUUUGUGGUGGCAUCAAUAGCGCUGAUAUCACACGGCCGCAAUGAUUACCAUGCAUAAUGUAUGCAAAUGCAUGUAAAUCGGCAGAGACGAGCGCGGUGAAGCGUCGCGUGCCCGCGCGGUGAGGCGGGUGAUGCGGAGACUCGAGAGGUUAUCAUUACCCGACAGCGAGCCCGAGCGCCGCACACCUCACGACACAAUGCGUCACACACUGUCCUCGAGUGCGCUCCACAAGUACGCAGCCAUCCUGCUAUUGUUACAGUAAUCUCAGCAAACAACAUGUAAUGUGCCUACAACGAACAAAUAGAAGGACGUUCUCAGGACUCCUUCAGACUCUCAUCGUCACUCCCGGACCCGAGCAGCAGCAAGCGAGAUAGGGGCACCUUACCCUCGAUGCGCAGGCAAGAAGGAACAGUAUUGAUAUUUCCGAGUUACGAAAACAGGGAGUAGGUAGGUGAGUGUCGCGUGUGACGGUGCGGUCGCGUGGCGCGUGGCUGCGCGGGCGCAGAUGAGCGCAUGAGAGGCGCGGGCGGGGUGCGGGCGAGUCAUGUGACUGCGGGACUGGUUGUCGCCUCAGAGCCGCGCCGCACACCGCGCCGCGCCGCGCCCCUGUCGCGUGCCCGCCGCUUGUAAACAUGAGGCGCACAGAGCUCGCCUUUCAGAGCAGAGCAGACGGUCGCUAUCAGUUAGUCUGUCCUCGCUUUAACAACACUUGAACAAUAUCGUUAUUAAUAGAGGAACCCUGAUGCGACAAUAUCAUCCUUGUUUACGAUCCCGUAUUAACUGUAAGCUGUGCUCCUCGAUUCAAAGCAAACAACGCGACGUAAAUGUAGAACUAAUAUGAUUAUAUUUAAUGUAUCUACCUAGGCACAUUGAUUAAAAUAUUUCAUUGGUUCCUAUUUAUAUGUGGUUCAAAUUGCGCGUCUCAAUAUAGUGCUUACAACGGCAGAGCUCAGAAAGUAACACAUACCUAGGGGCGAAUAUUUUGCACGCUAUCUGAUGUUAAUUCCUAUCUCAGCUACUUUGAAUUAAAAUAUACUUCAGAGCAUUGUAAUGCUAGGUUAAGCUUUGUUAAUUAACUAGUGGUGGUAGGUCUCUCAUAUGUGAGAGUCCGCCUGGGUAGGUAACACCGCAACGUCUAUUUCUGCCGCCAAGCAACAGUGUGUAGUCACUGUUGUGUUCCGAUUUGAAGAACAUUGUAACCAGUGUAAAUACUAGACAUAAAAGACUUAACUUCUCCGAUCUCAGGAUGGCGAGCGCAGUGGAAUACCAAAC